rnacentral:rRNA from 1 species
UUGGAGGGCAAGUCUGGUGCCAGCAGCCGCGGUAAUUCCAGCUCCAAUAGCGUAUAUUAAAGUUGUUGCAGUUAAAAAGCUCGUAGUUGAACCUCGGGGUCUACCCAUUGGUCAGGCUUAAUUGUCUGCACUGGUGAGAUGGAUCUCUACCUUCUGAGGAACUUUCACGCCAUUUAUUUGGUGUGAUGGGAAAUCAGGACUGUUACUUUGAAAAAAUUAGAGUGUUUAAAGCAGACUAUCGUCUGAAUACAUUAGCAUGGAAUAAUGAAAUAGGACGGACUGAUUCUAUUUCGUUGGUUUCUAGGAUCACCGUAAUGAUUAAUAGGGAUAGUUGGGGGCAUUAGUAUUCAAUUGUCAGAGGUGAAAUUCUUGGAUUUAUUGAAGACUAACUACUGCGAAAGCAUUUGCCAAGGAUGUUUUCAUUAAUCAAGAACGAAAGUUAGGGGAUCGAAGACGAUCAGAUACCGUCGUAGUCUUAACCAUAAACUAUGCCGACUAGGGAUCGGACGAAGUUAAUUUUAUAAUGACGCGUUCGGCGCCUUACGGGAAAC